rnacentral:rRNA from 1 species
GCCUUAGUAACGGCGAGUGAAGCGGCAACAGCUCAAAUUUGAAAUCUGGCCCUUGGGUCCGAAUUGUAAUUUGUAGAGGAUGAUUUUGGUGCGGUAUCUUCCGAGUUCCUUGGAACAGGACGCCUUAGAGGGUGAGAGCCCCGUACGGUUGAAUGCCUAGCCUCUGUAAAUCUCCUUCGACGAGUCGAGUAGUUUGGGAAUGCUGCUCUAAAUGGGAGGUAAAUUUCUUCUAAAGCUAAAUAUUGGCCAGAGACCGAUAGCGCACAAGUAGAGUGAUCGAAAGAUGAAAAGCACUUUGAAAAGAGGGUUAAAUAGCACGUGAAAUUGUUGAAAGGGAAGGAUUUGUGACCAGACUUUUUCUGGGCGGAUCAUCCGGGGUUCUCUCCGGUGCACUUCGCCCAGUAAAGGCCAGCAUCGGUUUUCGGCGUGGGAUAAAAGCAGUAGGAAUGUGGCUCUCUACGGGGAGUGUUAUAGCCUAUUGUAUAAUACCGCGCUGGGGACCGAGGUUCGCGCUUCUGCAAGGAUGCUGGCGUAAUGGUUAUCAAUCACCCGUCUUGAAACACGGACCAAGGAGUCGAACAUUUGUGCGAGUGUUUGGGUGUUAAACCCUCACGCGUAAUGAAAGUGAACGGAGGUGAGAGCCCUUACGGGUGCAUCAUCGACCGAUCCUGAAGUUUUCGGAUGGAUUUGAGUAAGAGCAU